CUGAACCAGCCAAGUAGCGUGAAGGAUGACUGCCCUAUGGGUUGUAAACUUCUUUUAUACGGGAAUAAAGUGAGGCACGUGUGCCUUUUUGUAUGUACCGUAUGAAUAAGGAUCGGCUAACUCCGUGCCAGCAGCCGCGGUAAUACGGAGGAUCCGAGCGUUAUCUGGAUUUAUUGGGUUUAAAGGGAGCGUAGAUGGGUUGUUAAGUCAGUUGUGAAAGUUUGCGG
rnacentral:rRNA from 1 species